GGGGGUGAUCGGUUUCGACUGGUGUACGUGUGCUUCAGCUGCGUGCAGAGGUUGUCAGGAGGCCUCUUAAAACACCUGGCACAAUCAUAACUGCGAACGAGCAGUUAGCACUGGCCGCGUAAAUCACGCGGUCACGUCCUCCUGAAACCCGCCUGCGGUGACGGGAAGGACGCCGGAAGCAGGCUGGACACGGACCUUGUUCCCUGGGGGUCGUGCCCAUCGUUCUGCAGGGGAUAGCGGCCCGGGCAUCCGGCCCCUUCGGGAGGCCAGGGCGGCGAAUUCAAAGCAGGGGCUACGCACGUAGAUGCUGUCGCGUGUGUCCAUCAGGACGCGGGUUCGAUUCCCGCCACCUCCACCA
rnacentral:tmRNA from 1 species